GUUAAGCGACUAAGCGUACACGGUGGAUGCCCUGGCAGUCAGAGGCGAUGAAGGGCGUGCUAAUCUGCGAUAAGCGCCGGUAAGGUGAUAUGAACCGUUAUAACCGGCGAUACCCGAAUGGGGAAACCCAGUGUGAUUCGUCACACUAUCAUUAACUGAAUCCAUAGGUUAAUGAGGCGAACCGGGGGAACUGAAACAUCUAAGUACCCCGAGGAAAAGAAAUCAACCGAGAUUCCCCCAGUAGCGGCGAGCGAACGGGGAGGAGCCCAGAGCCUGAAUCAGCAUGUGUGUUAGUGGAAGCGUCUGGAAAGGCGCGCGAUACAGGGUGACAGCCCCGUACACAAAAGCGCAUGUGCUGUGAGCUCGAUGAGUAGGGCGGGACACGUGGUAUCCUGUCUGAAUAUGGGGGGACCAUCCUCCAAGGCUAAAUACUCCUGACUGACCGAUAGUGAACCAGUACCGUGAGGGAAAGGCGAAAAGAACCCCGGCGAGGGGAGUGAAAAAGAACCUGAAACCGUGUACGUACAAGCAGUGGGAGCCCCACCACCAAAGCAUUCUCUGG
rnacentral:rRNA from 1 species